CGAAGGCCUUUGGCUCCGGCACCUUCAUUGAGCGGGAUGGUUCUGUAGCAAAGGCACCCGGGCUGCAGAAUGCUGUCUUGAGCACUCCCAUUUCACUCUCUGCAAUGCUAACACGAGAGGCUAGAACGGCACUUACUUCUUCAAACCAAGAUUGAAGUGCGCUCAGCCUUUCCUCGAGCUCAUCCAAUUUGGAUAUCAUCGGGCGUUCCAACUCCUCUGGGACUUCACCGAGUACCUGCUCGAUGAUUGUUACCCGGUCUCGAACAGCAUCCAAGCCGGAUCCACCAGCCA
rnacentral:lncRNA from 1 species